UUUCCGUAGGUGAACCUGCGGAAGGAUCAUUGCCACACACGAUCCAAGAUCGACACUUAUUGUGAACCGUAAAUGUUAUAUGUUGAUUCUCUUGUGCAGUUUUACCUCUUUUUGAGACUAAAGCUUGUACGAGAAGUCAAUAAUUAUUAUUACACCAAAACAUACAACAUGAAUUAUCAAAGGAACAUAAAAAUGUUAUUAUCAAGUUCGUCUUGAUUUUAACGCUAGAUUGAAAAUUGUAAACAACUUUUAACAACGGAUAUCUAGGUUCUU
rnacentral:misc_RNA from 1 species